UAAAGGUGUCUCGUGUUUGACAGAUACACAGCUUAAUUAUUAUUGAGUGAGUGCUCAGAGAAGGUGAAAAGCCUGUAUGGUUGUGUAAAUCUGUCGAAUCGGGUCACUGACGAGUCUAGUUGUUUGAGAGUACAACUUAAAGCUGGUGGUAAAUUUCAUCAAAGGCUAAAUAUCUAAGGGGACUAAUAGCGAACAAGUACCAUGAGGGAAAGUUGAAAAGAACUCUGACGAGAGAGUUCAACAGUACGUGAAACCAUAUAGAGUAAAACAGAUAACUGUGUUGUUAUGUGGUGUGCCUAUCAACAGCGUACUCGGUGAUGCGAAUUUGUGAGUGUGAGCUGUUUAUGCAGACGAUCUCUCACGACUAGCACAACCGAAGGUUCUGUGUAUUAGUGCAUACUCAAUCAUUGAGAAACUAUGCUGCUGCGGUAUCGGCGUGCAUCAGUCCGUACCUAGUGCGAGGUUGCAUGCUGGGCUCUGCUAGCUGGUGUAGUUUAGCUGUGUGACAGCUGUGAGUUGCGUUUACUGAAUGUGCUUGCUUUGUCUGCGGAUCGGUUUAUUCCUUUCUGCGGUGAGUACAGUGCAGUAGGUAAGUGAUUCGCCAUCAAUGGUUAACAUUAGUUAUUUGACCCGUCUUGAAACACGGACCAAGGAGUUCAAAUGGCACGCGAGUCAUUGGGUUUAACCACCCGAAGGCGAAGUGAAAUGCAAACCUAUCGUUACUCGUGGUUGUUCCAUGAUUAAGCGAUAAGCUACUCAUGCUUUCU
rnacentral:rRNA from 1 species